AGCAGCCGCGGUAAUUCCAGCUCCAAUAGCGUAUAUUAAAGUUGCUGCAGUUAAAAAGCUCGUAGUUGAAUUUCGGGAUCAAUAUGUUGGUCGUGCCUCGGUACGUACUUAGCUUAUUGGUUUCUCCCUUCUGACGAACCAUGAUGUCAUUUAUUUGGUGUUAUGGGGAAUCAGGACUGUUACUUUAGAAAAAUUAGAGUGUUUAAAGCAGGCCUACGCUUGAAUACAUUAGCAUGGAAUAAUGAAAUAGGACGCUUGAUUCUAUUUUGUUGGUUUCUAGGAUCGACGUAAUGAUUAAUAGGGAUAGUUGGGGGCAUUAGUAUUCAAUUGUCAGAGGUGAAAUUCUUGGAUUUAUUGAAGACUAACUACUGCGAAAGCAUUUGCCAAGGAUGUUUUCAUUAAUCAAGAACGAAAGUUAGGGGAUCGAAGACGAUCAGAUACCGUCGUAGUCUUAACCAUAAACUAUGCCGACUAGGGAUCGGAUGAUGUUAAUUUUUAAUGACUCA
rnacentral:rRNA from 1 species